rnacentral:rRNA from 1 species
AGUGAACGCUGGCGGUAGGCCUAACACAUGCAAGUCGAACGGCAGCACAGUAAGAGCUUGCUCUUACGGGUGGCGAGUGGCGGACGGGUGAGGAAUACAUCGGAAUCUACUUUUUCGUGGGGGAUAACGUAGGGAAACUUACGCUAAUACCGCAUACGACCUACGGGUGAAAGCAGGGGAUCUUCGGACCUUGCGCGAUUGAAUGAGCCGAUGUCGGAUUAGCUAGUUGGCGGGGUAAAGGCCCACCAAGGCGACGAUCCGUAGCUGGUCUGAGAGGAUGAUCAGCCACACUGGAACUGAGACACGGUACAGACUCCUACGGGGGGCAGCAGUGGGGAAUAUUGGACAAUGGGCGCAAGCCUGAUCCAGCCAUACCGCGUGAGUGAAGAAGGCCUUCGGGUUGUAAAGCCCUUUUGUUGGGAAAGAAAAGCAGCAGGUUAAUACCCCGCUGUUCUGACGGUACCCAAAGAAUAAGCACCGGCUAACUUCGUG